AGAACGAACGCUGGCGGCGCGCCUAACACAUGCAAGUCGAACGGGCCCUUCGGGGCUAGUGGCGCACGGGUGCGUAACGCGUGGGAAUCUGCCCUUAGGUUCGGAAUAACUCAGGGAAACUUGAGCUAAUACCGUAUAAUGACUUCGGUCCAAAGAUUUAUCGCCUAGGGAUGAGCCCGCGUAGGAUUAGCUUGUUGGUGAGGUAAAGGCUCACCAAGGCGACGAUCCUUAGCUGGUCUGAGAGGAUGAUCAGCCACACUGGGACUGAGACACGGCCCAGACUCCUACGGGAGGCAGCAGUGGGGAAUAUUGGACAAUGGGCGAAAGCCUGAUCCAGCAAUGCCGCGUGAGUGAUGAAGGCCUUAGGGUUGUAAAGCUCUUUUACCCGGGAAGAUAAUGACUGUACCGGGAGAAUAAGCUCCGGCUAACUCCGCGCCAGCAGCCGC
rnacentral:rRNA from 1 species